rnacentral:rRNA from 1 species
UACGGAGGGUGCAAGCGUUAUCCGGAUUCACUGGGUUUAAAGGGUGCGUAGGUGGGUUGGUAAGUCAGUGGUGAAAUCUCCGUGCUUAACAUGGAAACUGCCAUUGAUACUACUGAUCUUGAAUUUUCAGGAGGUAAGCGGAAUAUGUCAUGUAGCGGUGAAAUGCUUAGAUACGACAUAGAACACCAAUUGCGAAGGCAGCUUACUACAGGAAUAUUGACACUGAUGCACGAAAGCGUGGGGAUCAAACAGG